rnacentral:rRNA from 1 species
UGCUUGUCUCAAAGAUUAAGCCAUGCAGGUCUAAGUACAGGCCCUAUACGGCGAAACUGCGAAUGGCUCAUUAAAUCAGUUAUGGUUCCUUAGACACACCCUCCACUUGGAUAACUGUGGAAAAUCUAGAGCUAAUACAUGCGACCAAGCUCCGACCCGUCGAGGGGAAGAGCGCAUUUGUUAGUACAAAACCAACCCGGGUUCGCGCCCGGCCAUCUUGGUGACUCUGAACAACCUCGAGCCGAUCGCACGGCCUCGCGCCGGCGACGCAUCUUUCAAAUGUCUGCCCUAUCAACUGUCGAUGGUACGUGCUAUGCGUACCAUGGUUCUCACGGGUGACGGGGAAUCAGGGUUCGAUUCCGGAGAGGGAGCCUGAGAAACGGCUACCACAUCCAAGGAAGGCAGCAGGCACGCAAAUUACCCAAUGCCGACACGGCGAGGUAGUGACGAAAAAUAACAAUACGGGUCUCUUUCGAGGCCCCGUAAUUGGAAUGAGUACACUCUAAAUCCUUUAACGAGGAUCUAUUGGAGGGCAAGUCUGGUGCCAGCAGCCGCGGUAAUUCCAGCUCCAAUAGCGUAUAUUAAAGUUGCUGCGUUUAAAAAGCUCGUAGUUGGAUCUCGGUUCCAGGCCUGCGGUCCGCCUCGAGGCGGAUACUGCUCGUCCUGCGUUCGACGUCGUGGUGGUCCCUUGGUGCUCUUGACUGAGUGUCUCGGGCGGUCCCGAACGUUUACUUUGAAAAAAUUAGAGUGCUCAAAGCAGGCGUAUCGCCUGAAUAAUUCCGCAUGGAAUAAUGGAAUAGGACCUCGGUUCCAGUUUCGUUGGUUUGCGAAUCCUUGAGGUAAUGAUUAAUAGGGACUGCCGGGGGCAUACGUAUUGCGGCGGGAGAGGUGAAAUUCGUGGAUCGCCGCAAGACGAACGACAGCGAAAGCAUUUGCCAAGAAUGUUCUCAUUAAUCAAGAACGAAA